CAACCGCCUCCUUUCCUCUGAGAAAACCAAGAUUGUUUGUAGACACCAGAAAAAGCUGUCCGUCUUAACCGCACUGAAACGGACAUCAGAUGGUAUCACUGAGAACCCGAACGAAACAAUUGUGAACUUGACGAAUCACUCGCUCUCGUCCGAUGAACUAGAUGUUUUGAAGUUGGGACUCAGAUAUGGCCUGGCAACUCGACCUAACCAACUAGAAAUCAUGGCUGUGGCUGAAGACGUUUGGAGACAGGUAUCACGUUUGGAUAUUUUCAAGGAAGGAAGAUACGUGCAAGAUAAGAUUAAGAACUCUCUUCGCUCCUUCACUUAUAAUUAUAUUGAUCUUGACUUGAAGGAGUUUAAGCUAGGGCGCAAGAAGAUAAACAUUUUAAACAAACUAACCGAAACUUUUGCCAUCCUUAAGCCUGAUAAAGGAAAUGGCAUUGUGCUCAUUAAUCGCUCUGAUUAUGUAAUUUCCAUCAAAUCUCUUUUUUCUGAUUCCUCUAAGUUUAAGAAAUUGGAUUAUGACCCGACAUUAACUAGACUUCAUUCUUUACAGAACUACCUACUUAAACUUCACAAACGUAAUGAAAUUACUGACGAACAACUUGACGCUCUAAGACCUAUGACAGCACAUUUUGGCAGAGCACAUGGCUUGCCAAAGACUCACAAGAAAUUUGACACUUUACCCAAAUUCCGACCAAUAGUUGACACUACUAACACUCCACACUACAACGUUGGAAAAUUUUUAUCUUCUUUACUAAAUCCUCUUACUUUAAACGAUCAUUCUCUUUCUGAUUCUUUUGAUGCGGUGACCAAUAUUAACAAUAUUCCCAAACAUUUGUUUCAAGAAGGCUACCAGUUCGUUUCUUUCGAUGUUGAAUCCCUCUUUACCAAUGUUCCACUUUCCCACACAGUCAAAAUUAUUCUAGAUCGUAUUUAUAAAGACGAAUUAAUUACAACCACUUUGGAAAAACGCACUUUGAAAAAACUCAUUUUGGAUUGUUGCAACAAAACUACCUUUUCUUUUGACGAGCAAAUUUAUGUCCAAAAAGACGGCGUUUCUAUGGGUUCUUCAUUAGGACCUGUCUUAGCUAAUAUAAUUUUAACUGAAUUUGAAAGAUUAAUAGUUUCCGAGUUGAUUGCCGAUGGUACUAUAAAAUUCUAUAAACGUUACGUUGAUGACACUCUUGUUUUGAUAAAACCUUCCAAUAUUUCUGCCGUUUUAGCUAAGUUCAAUAGUUUCGAUCCGAACUUAAAUUUCACAGUUGAUACUUUUCCCGAUGGUGUUGUUCAUUUUUUAGACAUAAAAGUCUCGGUUGAUGGUACUGACAUUUAUCGUAAGGACACCCACACCGGUCAGUAUUCACAUUUUUCAAGUUUUGAGCCUUUUCAUCGCAAAACUGCAUGGGUAAAAUCUCUGUUCCACCGGGCUUUUAAAAUUUGCAGUUCAAAAACACUUUUCAACAAUCAAAUUGAAACCAUAAAAUCUUUUAUGUCUUGGAAUGGUUAUCCUAAUGGCGUUAGAAACUUUUUGAUUAAAAAGCUUAAAACCAAAUAUAUUGAUAAUUCUACUUCCGAUACCGUUAAUCAUGACACUGAUGAUGAUAUGUUGCCUAAAAUUUGGAUUCGUAUUCCUUAUCUCGGGAACCGUGGUGAUUUUCUUUUAAAAUCAUGUCUCAAUAAAAUACAAAGAUUUCUUUCUAAACCGGUUAAGUUCAUCACUAUUUAUUACACUAAAAAACUCUCUUAUUUUGUUUCCAACAAAGAUAAACUUCCUCCUUUAUCUCGUAGUAAUCUUGUAUACGAGGUCGCUUGCCCUGGUUGUGGCAAAACCUAUAUUGGCAUAACACAAAGAUGCCUUUCUGUACGUUUGAAAGAGCAUGCAACUAGGCUCUCUUCUAGUGCAGUGGGCCAACAUUUUUCUGAAUGUGAACAUGCUCAAUUCUUAGCUACUUUACAAGACCAGUUCACACUACUCAACGAUCUUCCUUUGCCUUCUGACAACUCUUCUCCUAUUGUAAACCUUGUUUUCAACAGCUACAGAAUACUUCACAUUACAAAAUCUAACAACUACAACAUUCUUGCUUUUCUUGAAGCACUGCUUAUCAAACACAACAAACCUUUUCUUAACACUGGAC